rnacentral:rRNA from 1 species
UACAUGAGGGUGCAAGCGUUGUCCGGAAUUAUUGGGCGUAAAGAGCUCGUAGGUCGUUUGUUACGUCGGAUGUGAAAACCUGAGGCUCAACCUCAGGCCUGCAUUCGAUACGGGCAAACUAGAGUUUGGUAGGGGAGACUGGAAUUCCUGGUGUAGCGGUGGAAUGCGCAGAUAUCAGGAGGAACACCAAUGGCGAAGGCAGGUCUCUGGGCCAAUACUGACACUGAGGAGCGAAAGUCUGGGGAGCGAACAGG